rnacentral:rRNA from 1 species
UACGUAGGGUGCAAGCGUUGUCCGGAAUUAUUGGGCGUAAAGAGCGUGUAGGCGGCCAGGUAGGUCUGGUGUGAAAACUCGAGGCUUAACCUCGAGAUGUCAUCGGAAACCAUCCGGCUAGAGUCCGGAAGAGGAGAGUGGAAUUCCUGGUGUAGCGGUGAAAUGCGCAGAUAUCAGGAAGAACACCAAUGGCGAAAGCAGCUCUCUGGGACGGUACUGACGCUGAGACGCGAAAGCGUGGGGAGCGAACAGG